rnacentral:misc_RNA from 1 species
GAACACGGCGCGCGUUACCAGAGGACUGAGGGCGCGAGAGAAGGACGGAGCGAACGAGAGCGGGCGAGCGAGAAAGAGCGAGAUAGGAAAAGGACGAGAUAGAGGAAGAGAAAGAGAAAGAGAGCGAGAGAGAGAGAGAGAGAGAGAGAAAGAGAGGCGGAUUCUCGCGGCGGCUCUCGGAGCGGCUCGCGGACGACCGUUGUGAAUUCCCCCAAUGGCGCAUGCACGGCUCAGCUGUGUGCGUCCUGUACGCACCGCGUAGUGAUGCGCUUGCCAGGAUCGCCGUCCGGGUGAGCACGCCAGUGCCGGGACGUCGUGCAGGAAACAUGGAGCGUCCACUCAGUGUCACAGUCAUACAUUGCUCGAAUAAAUACUACAUUUAGCCCUUAGUUUGGAUAGUCUUUGAUGCAACAGAAGUAGUACAUUGUCGUGUGGCAUAGUAGUCCAAACUCCUACCAGGAGAGAUGGAUGUCGUGCGGGAUGAGGAUAGGUGGAGACGCCUACGGGCUCUGGAGGAGCGUAUAAAGGAUCCAAGAAGCGUCACGAAUAUCGACUGCUUGUUGGACACGGUUCAAGCCUUGGUGUCGGAUUGCGAUCACGCGAGUGUGAAACGCAUGAAAAACAUAGAAGCUUAUAUGAAUAGAUAUGACUCCGUAGCUCAAGAGAUAUAUAAAAUGCGAAUGCGCACGGACGAUUUUACUCUGAUAAAAGUAAUCGGCCGUGGAGCAUUCGGCGAAGUGCAGUUGGUCAGACACAAAUCUACGCAGAAAGUAUACGCCAUGAAACUGCUUAGUAAAUUCGAAAUGAUCAAAAGGUCAGACUCCGCAUUUUUUUGGGAAGAGAGGGAUAUAAUGGCGCACGCCAAUUCCCAGUGGAUAGUACAGCUUCACUUCGCGUUCCAAGACCAGAAGUAUCUCUACAUGGUGAUGGAUUACAUGCCAGGCGGUGACCUCGUGAACCUGAUGUCGAACUAUGACGUGCCAGAAAAAUGGGCGAAAUUUUACUGCGCCGAGGUGGUGCUCGCAUUGGAUGCGAUACAUCUGAUGGGCUUCGUUCACAGGGACGUGAAACCGGACAACAUGCUGCUCGACAAGCACGGUCACUUAAAACUCGCCGACUUCGGCACGUGUAUGAGGAUGGAUGCUGACGGUUUGGUUCGGUCCGACACCGCGGUCGGCACACCCGAUUACAUCUCCCCGGAAGUCCUGCAGUCGCAAGGCGGUGAAGGAGUUUACGGUCGCGAAUGCGACUGGUGGUCCGUGGGUGUCUUUCUGUAUGAAAUGCUGGUCGGCGACACACCGUUCUACGCCGACUCCUUAGUCGGCACAUAUUCGAAGAUCAUGGAUCACAGGAACUCGCUGCACUUUCCUCAGGAAGUCGACAUCUCGCACUCGGCGAAGAACUUGAUAUGCGGCUUCCUCACCGACAGAACGAAGCGUUUGGGCCGCAAUGGCGUGGACGAGAUUAAGAGCCAUACGUUCUUCAAGAACGACCAGUGGACCUUCGACAACCUGAGAGAAUGCGUGCCGCCGGUGGUGCCUGAACUGUCUGGCGACGACGAUACAAGCAAUUUCGAUGACGUCGAUAAGGAGGACGGGCCAGAGGAGAGUUUCCCGGUGCCCAAGGCCUUUUCCGGUAACCACCUGCCUUUCAUCGGAUUUACUUAUUCCGGUGAUUACCAGUUGAUGGCUUCGCAUGGCAAAGAGUCCGUCGACGGGCUGGAGAAUCACGUGAACAACGGCACUACAGACGACGUGAAGAUCUCGCAGCUGGAGAAUCUGUUGGACCGCGAGAGACGGCAAGUGGAGACAAUGGAGUCGCGGCAAAAGGUGCUGAAUACGCAGUUGGAUGCGAUGACGCGUCGGGAAGCCGAGUUACGGGAGGAGAUCGGCAGGGCGGACAAGGAACUGACAUUGCUUAGACACAACUACAAGGAGGCGCAGCGCCGAGUGGAACACGAGACUGAGACGCGCAGAAAGGCGGAGUCGCUGCUCGUGGAGCUGAAGAAGAAGUUCGACGAGGAGCAGACGAGACGAGUGCGAGACGCCAGCAACUCGCAGCAGACGUCCGAGCGUGUGACCACGUUGGAGAAACAGCUCAAGGAGAUGCAGUGCAAGCUGGAGAGAGAAACUGAAACGGCGACGCGACUGCGGAAGCAGACGACGGAAGUGACGGUCGCGCGUCAGGCCGCCGAGCAAAUGGCGAGCGAGUUGCAAGUCGUGAGAGCUCAGCUGCAAGCACAGCGCGACAACUUGCAGCAGGAGGUUGCCGCUCUACAGGGCCAACUCUCCAAGGAACGCAGUUCCAGAUCGCAAGCGUCGUCGCUGACGGCCGAGCUGGAGACGCGUCUCUCCGCCUUGCAUCUUGAGCUAGAACGCAGUCAUGAAAAAGAAGAGAAGGCGACUCUGGACAAUAGGCAACUGAACGAAAGGGUUUCCGCGUUGGAGAAGGAAGCUGCUAGUUUGACCCUGGAGCUGAAAGCCGCACAAGCCAGGUACAAUCAGGAAGUCGUGGCGCAUCAGGAAACUGAACGAUCGCGCAUACUCUCCAAGGAAGAGGCCAAUCUGGAGGUCGUCAAAGGACAAAAGAACGGGAUUUUCGAAGUGAAACUGAACGAGGAGAAAAGUGGAAGACAACGCGCGGAAUUGCUCGCACAGGAGAAGGAGCGCCAGACGUCGAUGCUCUCCGUCGAUUACAGACAGAUACAGCAACGAUUGCAGAAAUUGGAGGGCGAGCACAGGCAGGAGAUGGAGAAGGUCAAGGUACUGCAGGGCCAGGUUGAGCAGGAGCAGCAGAAGAGGAACGUCUUGCAAACCGAGCUGGGUCAACAAACAUCCGAAGCGGGAAGACUUCGCGCUCGCGAGCAACAAUUGGUCGGAGAGGUCGCUCAGUUGAGGGAGGCUAAACGACAAAUAGAGGAGGAGUUGCAUCACUUGAAAACGCAGAGGAACGUCGAUCAGUUGCAGACGAAGGAACUGCAAGAGCAAUUGGAAGCCGAAGCUUACUUCUCGACUCUUUACAAGACACAGACACAAGAGUUGCGCGAAGAGCUGGACGAGAAAGUGAGGCUGCAGCAGGAAUUCGAGGAAGAACGUAGCUCCUUGGUCCAUCAGUUGCAGCUGUCGCUGGCACGCGGUGACAGCGAAGCGCUAGCCAGAUCCAUAGCUGAGGAAACCGUGGCAGACUUGGAGAAGGAGAGAACUAUGAAGGAAUUAGAGUACAAAGACGGGGUCGCCAAACACCACCAGGAACUGAACGCGAAGGAGCAACUUAUAAACAGGCUCAAGGAGAACGAGAGCGAGUUCAAGAAGUCGGUCGAGCAGACUCUGAAAGACAAGGAGGACCUGAGCAAGCGGUUGAAGGAACUACAGGAACAACUCGGCAAGGCGCAGUCCAACGCGGAAGAGAUCGAGAAGCUCAGCAGCAAGCUGAAGACCGAGCAGGUGCUGAAGCAGCAGGCGGUCAAUAAGUUAGCCGAGAUCAUGAACCGGAAGGAUCUCUCGUCGAGUGGCAAGAACAAGAACAAGGCAUCCGCCGCGGAUCUGAGGAAGAAGGAGAAAGACUGCAGGCGGCUGCAGCAGGAGCUCACUCAGGAGAGGGAGAAGUACGGACAGCUGGCAGCUAAGUGGCAGAAGGAUCUGCAGGAUAUACAGGCGCAACUCGUGGAGGAGAAUCAGGCGAAGCUAAGGCUGCAGAUGGAACUGGACUCGAAGGACUCGGAGAUAGAAACGCUGCAAAUGAAAAUCGCGUCGCUCAAUUCGGAAACUGCCAGUGUCUCGUCGAUCGAAAACGACGGGGAAGACUCGGUCUUAUCCGAGCACGGUACGAUGAGGCUGGAGGGCUGGUUAAAUGUGCCAAACAAGCAGAAUAUUAAGCGGCACGGCUGGAAGAAGCAGUAUGUCGUGGUCUCCUCUAAGAAAAUAAUCUUCUACAACAGCGAGAACGACAAGAUGAACGCCGACCCGGUCCUGAUAUUAGACUUGAACAAAGUCUUCCACGUUAGAUCCGUUACUCAGGGUGAUGUUAUCCGAGCCAAUGCCAAAGAUAUACCCAGAAUAUUUCAGUUACUUUAUGCCGGCGAGGGUGAAGCGAGGCGACCCGGCGACGAAGGGAACACAAUGCCCGGAGUGGAUUUGCCGCAGCUCACAGACAAACCCGGCACUCAGUCGCUAAAGGGCCACGAGUUUGUGUCAAUAUCGUAUCACAUGCCGACGACCUGCGAAGUCUGCUCGAAACAACUCUGGCACAUGUUCCGGCCUUCGCCGGCCCUCGAAUGCCGAAGGUGUCGCAUCAAGGUUCACAAGGAACAUUUGGAUAAGAAGGAAGAUGCCAUAGCCCCCUGCAAAUUGCACUACGACCCGAACAGCGCGCGCGAGUUGCUGUUGCUCGCGGCGAAUCCCGAGGAUCAGAAGUACUGGGUCUCGAGGCUGUCCAGACGUGUCCAGAAAUGCGGUUACAAAGCAAACUCGCACGUGGACGGCACGGGACAACGAGUCUCGCCAAGGUAGCGUAGCCGUGCUGCUCGACGCGAGCGGGGACUAAGUAGCUCUCUUAUUUUGUGGCGUCGCAUGAUUGGGUGUAGAGAGGGAAUCCACGAGGUCGACCUUAAAGCCAUACUUGACGGUGCAGCAACGAUCCGCGACGUUACCAGCGAACGCCAGUAUGGGCAAGUGAUCUUGGAAGAUCCUACCGCUGGCCAUUCGAAACUCUGGUUAUGAUCAGUUGCCCCGUUUGCCCUCGAUAACAG